CCUGUGCAAGACGAGGGCACAGACAUGGUAUGAGUGUUGUACCCACCCGAGGAAAAGCAGCCUGCAUACAACAUAAGGGAGGAAAAGAGACUUGCUUCUCCCUUUAGUUUUUGCUGGUUUGCUGUCUUCCACCACCAUGAACUGCUGCCCCUCUGCCAUGCCACCCUGCCUUGGAGUAUGGACUGAAACCUCCACAAACACACUUAUCCUCGGGACUACGGGGCACUACACCAGAAAGCGAGUGUGUCCAAGGUUGUCACCUGCGGGUAUUAAACAGGCCUACAAUUGUUUGGAUGAAACCUUUCACAUUACUGAAGGUGCUGUGGUUUAAAUCCAAAAAUGUCCUCAAAGCCUUAUACAAUCAUGGGGGGCUUGGGAAGGUUUCCAGUUUGAGUUCAAGAUUUCAGUCUUGUUGGGCAUGGUGGUACAGGUCUGCAAUCUUCACUCAAGAGGAUGAGGCUGGAGGAUUGCCAUGAACUUGAGGCCAGCUGGAGCUACAUAAGCGAAUUCAAGGCCAACCUGCACUACAUAGUGAGACUCUAUCUCAACAUUAGCAGUGCCCCGAACAAACAAAUAAACUAAAAACAGCUUCA